rnacentral:rRNA from 1 species
UGGAGAGUUUGAUCCUGGCUCAGGACGAACGCUGGCGGCGUGCUUAACACAUGCAAGUCGAACGAUGAAGCCUGCAACUUGUUGUGGGUGGAUUAGUGGCGAACGGGUGAGUAAUACGUGGGUAACCUGCCCUCCUUUUUGGGAUAAGCCUUGGAAACGGGGUCUAAUACCGAAUAUUCUGGCGCUCUCGCAUGGGGGUGUUGGGAAAGCUUUUGUGUGAGGGGGGAUGGGCUCGCGGCCUAUCAGCUUGUUGGUGGGGUGAUGGCCUACCAAGGCGGUGACGGGUAGCCGGCCUGAGAGGGUGACCGGCCACAUUGGGACUGAGAUACGGCCCAGACUCCUCACGGGAGGCAGCAGUGGGGGAUAUUGCACAAUGGGCGAAAGCCUGAUGCAGNGACGCCGCGUGGGGGAUGAAGGCUUUCGGGGUUGUAAACCUCUUUCGCUAUCGAACAAGGCUCACUUAGGGUGGGUUGAGGGUAGGUGGAGAAGAAGCGCCGGCUAACUACGUGCCAGCAGCCGCGGUA